rnacentral:rRNA from 1 species
UGAGGGGAAAAAUUAAUAAUUUAUAAAUAAUAAAAAAAUUUUUAAUACUAGAAUGGGGGUUAUAGUAUUAUAAGUAAAAAAAAUUAUAAAUUUUAUAGUUAAUUAGUAUUGUAAAAGAAUUUUGAAAUAAAUGAAAAUGAAAUUUUUAAAAAGUAAAUUUAAUUUGUUGUAUCUUGUGUAUCAGAGUUUAUUAAAUAAAUUUAUUUUGAAAAAUAAAUCUCGAAUUUAAAGGAGUUAAUUAAUUAUAAAAGUUAAUGUAAUAUAAUUAUUUUUAAUAAUUAAUUUGAAAUGAAAAGUUAAUCGUUUUUAAAUAUAUCUAGUUUUUUUAGAAAUAAAUUUAAUUUAAAAUUUAAUUUUAUUAAAAAUUUUUUUUUAAUUUAUAGUAAAUUAAAUUUAAUAUUUUAAGGGAUAAGCUUUAAAUUAAAAAUUUAUAUUAAAAAAAAAUUAUUUAAAUUUUUAAGAUUUAAAUUGUUUAAAAAUUUUAAUUUUUUAUAAAAAAUUUUAAUAAAAAUAAAAUUUAUAGUAAAAUUAAAAUUAUAUAAAAAAAAAAUUUAAAAUAAGAAAAAAUUUUAAAUAAUGAUAAAAUUAGUAUAAAAAAAAUUAAUAAAGUAAAAAUUUUAAAAAUUAAAUUAAAGGAAUUCGGCAAAUAUAUAUAUUCACUUGUUUAUCAAAAACAUGUCUUUUUGAAAAUAAUUUAAGGUUUAAUCUGCCCACUGAUGAAAAUUGAAGGGCUGCAGUAUAUUGACUGUACAAAGGUAGCAUAAUCAAUAGUCUUUUAAUUGAAGACUUGUAUGAAUGAUUUGAUGAAAUAUAAACUGUCUCUAAUUUAAAUAUAGAAUUUAAUUUUUUAGUCAAAAAGCUAAAAUGAUUUUAAAAGACGAGAAGACCCUAUAGAGUUUUAUAUUUAAAUUAUUUAAUAUUUUAUAUAUAAAUUAUAAUAAAAAUUAAUUAAAAUAUUUUAUUGGGGUGAUAGAAAAAUUUAAAAAACUUUUUUUAAAAAAAAAUCAUAAAUAAGUGAAAUGAUGAUCCAUAAUUAAUGAUUAAAAGAAAAAAUUACCUUAGGGAUAACAGCGUAAUUUUUUUUUUUAGUUCAAAUAAAAAAAAAAAAUUGCGACCCCGAUGUUGGAUUAAGAUAAAAUUUAAAUGCAAAAGUUUAAAAUUUUGAUCUGUUCGAUCAUUAAAAUCUUACAUGAUCUGAGUUCAAACCGGGGUGAGCCAGGUUGGUUUCUAUCUUUAGAUAAUUAUAAUAUUUUAGUACGAAAGGAUCAAAUAUUAAAAAUAAUUUUAAAAAUAAAAAUUUUAUUAAUAUUAA